GAAACUAACCAGGAUUCCCCUAGUAACGGCGAGUGAAGAGGGAAAAGCCCAAAUUUGUAAUCUGGCUCUUUCAGAGUCCGAGUUGUAAUUUUAAGAACUGUUUUCCGUGCUGGACCAUUUCUAAGUCUGUUGAAAAAUAGCAUCAUUGAGGGUGAUAAUCCCGUUCAUGAUAUGGACUGCCAGUGCAAUGUGAUACAGUUUCUAAGAGUCGAGUUGUUUGGGAAUGCAGCUCAAAGUGGGUGGUAAAUUCCAUCUAAGGCUAAAUAUAGGUGAGAGACCGAUAGCAUACAAGUACCGUGAGGGAAAGAUGAAAAGAACUUUGGAAAGAGAGUUAACAGUACGUGAAAUUGUUGUAAGGGAAACAAUUAAAGUUAGCCUUGUGCUUGUUAGUUCAGCUCUUUAACUAGGGUGUAUUCUAACAAUGUCACGGACCAACAUCAGUUUUUGGGUGCUGGAUAAGGGCUCCGGAAAUGUAGCAGUCUCGGCUGUGUUAUAGUCCGGGGUUUGGAUACAGUGCCUGGGACUGAGGAGAUCUGCAGCAAGCCAGUCAAAUGGCCGCCCUUUUUAAGGGCUCCCCUGCUGAGGAUGUUGGUGUCAAUAGCUUUAACUGACCCGUCUUGAAACACGGACCAAGGAGUCUAACAUGCUUGCGAGUAUUUGGGUGUUGAAACCCUGAUGCGAAAUUAACGUAAAUGUAAAUGGGAUCCUUUAUUGGUGCACCAUUGACCAGUCCUGAUUAUUUAUAUGAAGGUACUGAGUAAGAGCAAGUAUGUUGGGACCCGAAAGAUGGUGAACUAUGCCUGAAUAGGGUGAAGCCAGAGGAAACUCUGGUGGAAGCUCGUAGCGAUUCUGACGUGCAAAUCGAUCGUCGAAUUUGGGUAUAGGGGCGAAAG
rnacentral:rRNA from 1 species